AGGUGCGAUCAUACCAGCACUAAUACACCGGAUCCCAUCAGAACUCCGCAGUUAAGCGUGCUUGGGCGAGAGUAGUACUAGAAUGGGUGACCUCCUGGGAAGUCCUCGUGUUGCACCCC
rnacentral:rRNA from 1 species